rnacentral:rRNA from 1 species
GUCUGUGGCCAUACCACCCUGAAUGUGCCCAUUCUAGUCUGAUCUUGGAAGCUAAGCAGGGUGGGUCCUAGCUAGUACUUGGAUGGGAAACCUCUUGGGUGCUGUCAGCU